rnacentral:lncRNA from 1 species
GUUUCUUUCCUAUGCGACGCAAACGACAAAUCGAGAAAGACAAUGUCGUCCAUAAUGUAUGCAAGUGCAGCCACCUUGCCAGGCAAAAUUCUACCGUUAAGUUUUAUGCCCUACGCGUUGAUGUGGACUCAUCGUACAUAACGAUCUUGCCAGAUUUGCGUUCUACUAUUCUAAGAAAAAUGAACACUACUUCCGCCACGGCACUACGCUAUUGGCCACAGUGUCGUUUUGGCCUCUAUCUGGAGAGGCACCACACAUCUGGUUACGUUAAUCAUGUUGCCAUGCAGCCUUCUUCAGUAUCAUACUUCUUUUUUCGAGAGCUUGUGAGGAAUGUUUUUUUUGUGUCCUAACCACGAGCAGGAGAGCGAGUAAUGCGGCAGGGCGGUCGACGAGGCCCCGCCAUCGUUUAGUCUCAUCGACCGAGAAUUGAGUGUUAGGAGCGGAAGAUAUCAUAAGACUUCAUGUAUUUAGGAGACUAGACCCUCGCGUUCAGCAAUCAGAUCGUGUGUCCAGCGCGUAGGGACCAGCGCGCGCAGGCAUUCGGCUGCUUCUGUGUAACAGCCACUCCAGGCCCUACACUGUGCUCGCGAUUCACCAUAUAGAUCGACUGGAUAAGGUUCCAGUUUUGUGGUGGGGCCGUUGGGGCCAAAGUAUAUUCAGAGUUACGUGAACAAUCGAAGCUGCGCAGAGGAGGAAUGAAUUGUGCACAUUCGUGGCGAUGGCGAGACCUAUCUGUUGCACCCUGGUAAACAAGUACUCGUUUUUCUGCGCCUUGCCAAGAAACGCCAGAAGAAACAGAAACGUGGUGCUUUGUCAUCUGUUCUUUUUCCUGCACUGCAAAGCACCUCGUCGUUUGCAGCUGUGCAUGCAUGCUCACUUUUUCGUACCUUGUGGCUGGGACCAACAAACGAAAAGGUGGCCACACCGACAGGUGCUGAGUUAUGCCUUCUGUCUCCGUACGCGAAAGACGUCACUUUCUGUAGUACUGCUCCGAAUACGUACUUUUCUUCAUAAGUUGACCGUUAUCAGACCCACAGCUCCCUUGUGCGUCCAAACACUUGCCGGAAUCCACCCAAACACAUGCGUAGCGCCAGGGGAUUACUUUUUCGGCA